rnacentral:lncRNA from 1 species
CGGCCACGGCGACCUUUGGCUACGGCGGAACGACGACGGAUCGGAGGGGGAACGAGGGGAAUGGGAGUGGUGCUCACAAGGGGAGGCGGAGGACGCGGCCGGCGUGGCGAUGGAGCUCCGAUGUGGUAGAUCGGCCGCCGGGCAGCGACGGCCGUAGGCGAGGAAGACGCGUCGAUCUCGUCGGUGAGGUGCCGCCGAGCUCGAUGUUGUGGUCGGAGAGGACGAGGCGGAUGACGGCGAGGCUCCUGGCGCGGUCCUAGGCGGCGGGGGCGACAGUGAGCACGUAGACGACGACCAUGGUGAUGGUGGCGGCGGGCUCACGCAGGGGAGGAAGAGAGCGGCGCAUGGGGGGGAUGAGGUAGCUAGGGUUCGCAAGGCGGUCCAUCGCGUCUUAUCCAUCGGGGGAAUCGCAGGAUGGCCGACACGCACGCCCAGCGGCGGCCAUGGUGGUUGGACGUGUGCCACGACCUCUGUCUCGUACAGGGAAAAGGGAUGACCCCCAUUGGGAUGGGCCAGUGCAUAGUAGCGGUUGGGCUAAAGUGAAAGAGAGUCUUUUCUUAUUUCUGAUUUGUAUUUUCUCAGAUGUUUUGCAUUCCUUUUGGGUACUAAAUGAAUUUAUUAGAAAGUAUAACUUGUCAAAAUAAUUAUUAUUCAAUAUUCUGCAUUGCCUCAAAAAGUUCGAAGAUUGUUUGAACUCAUUUGGAUUUGGUCUAAAAUGAAAGGAUUUAUUUCGGGGCUGUUUGGACCAGUUUAAAAAUAGUUUAAGGGCAUUUUAAAUUGAAAUAAUGUUGGAUUAUUCAUGACCAUUAGUUAGUGAAUUUUUGCAACCCAGCGAGCAUUUUUGUUCUACCGCUUGACGAAAUAAUAACUUGACUUUACUUUAAUUUGAGUUUGAAAUCGGUUUGGAUCAAAGUGAGGUUUAGAAAACUAAAUGCGAUGACAUGACACCAUUAGGGUGUCUGGUUACUGUAGCUUAACCACCGGGGUGUUACAGUAAGGCGCGGAAUAUUGAUGCUUGAUCCCCUCAUCACUAAGAAACUCAUCCAAGGUGUAGUUCUUGAACUCGGUGCCGUUGUCACUUCUUAUUGUCAAGAUCUUUGCAUUGUGUUGACGUUGGGCUUCAUUUGCAAAGUCAAUGACGGUUUGUUGGGUCUCACUCUUCCUCUUGAAGAAAUACACCCAGGUGUAUCUUGAAUAGUCAUCCACAAUCACCAAGCAAUACUUUCUACCCCCAAGACUAUCAAAGGAUGGAGGCCCAAAGAGAUCCAAGUGAAGGAGCUCCAAAGGCCUCUUCGAGUAAAUGAGAGUCGUGGGAGGGUGAGCCUUCUCAUGAAGCUUUCCUUCGAUACAAGCACUGCAAGCACGAUCUUUAGCAAAACUAACGUUCGUUAGUCCACGGACAUGUUCCCCCUUGAGAAGACUUUGCAAAUAUCUCAUAUUGACAUGGGCUAAACGGCAAUGCCAAAGCCAUCCCACGUCAACUUUAGCCAUUAGGCAUGUCGCGGUCUUAGUGGGUCGCUCCGAAAAGUUAAUCACAUAGAGACCGUUCUCGACAUGCCCAACAAAGGCUACUUUAAGAGUCUUGCUCCACAAGAGGGCCACGGUAUCAAUAUCAAAGAAGGUGGCAAAACCCAUGAUUGCAAGUUGACGAACGGAAAGUAAAUUGUAUGCAAGGGACUCAACAAGCAUGACUUUCUCGAUCGUGAGAUCAUGAGAAAUGACUACUUUGCCGAGUCCCAAUACCUUAGAAGACGAGGCAUCACCCCAUUCGACAUUGGUGGGCAUAGAUGGAAUCUUGUGCACGUCCACCACCUAGUCUUUGCUUCCGGUCAUAUGAUUUGUAGCUCCACUAUCGAGCAACCAUGAUCCCCCACCGGAAGCAAACACCUACAAGAGAUCAAUGCUUGGUUUUAGGUACCCAUUUUGUAAUGGGUCCUUUGAUGUUAGUAACAAGGGUCUUAGGAACCCAAAUAGACCAUUCAAUAUACUCAUGAGGAGAACCAACAAAUUUGGCAUAAACAUGCCCAUCACUAGCACGGCAUAACACAUAAGAAGGAUUAAAGUCGCCGGCUUUGUUGGAAGGGGUGGCAUUGCCCUUCUUGACACCGCCACCCUUCGCAUUGUUCUUCUUCUCCUUGGAAGCACCCUCUCCCUCCUUCACAAAAUUUUCCUUGAGAGGAGUAGGUCGUUUGAUCUUGUCAUUCUUCUUCUUGUUCUUGGGCUUGGGUGCGAACCCAAUCCCCUCCUUGGCCACAACUUCCUUUUGGUUGCUCAAAAGGUCGUUGAGGUUCUUCUCACCUUGUAUGCAUGACACAAGGCCUUUCUCAAGUUGCUCCUUCAACUUAGCAUUCUCCUCAACAAGAUGCACAUGCUCACAACAAGGGUUAGUAGCAUUUGCAUUAUCAAUUAACACCAUAUGAGGAAAGGUGGCUUUCUCCUUAGUUAGCUUUACUUGGAGUUGAUCAUGAGACUCCUUGAGGCUAGCAUGAACACCCUUCAAGACUUUGUGAGCCUUGUCGAGAAUGUCAAACUCCUCUUUGAGUCUAGCAAGAUCAACCCCAAGUUUUUCCUUCUCGGAGUUUAGCACACGAGACACAACAAGAGCAUGAUCAAGAUCUUUCUUUAACUUGGCAUGAUCAUCGUUGUAUGACUCCUCAAGAGCCAAACGAAGACCACGCUCUUCGUCAAGAGCAUUGGAAAGAUCCGAAAUCUCAUUGGCAUAGUCACGACUAUGCCCCUCCAUCUUAGAGAUGGUAUCUUCGUGAGCCUCGAUCAUGUCAUUGGCUUCACCAAGUUGUUCCAAGAGAGCAACGAAGUGCUUCUUGGAUUUACCCUUGAGUUUACCCAUAAAGGUCUCAAACUCAUUUUCCUCCACAUUUGUCCCCUCAUGUUCAUCAAUGCUAUCCGUCGAAGAAGGAUGAUUAAUGAUGGUAGUUUUGAUGUUGGGGGUUACCUUGUUGGUGGCUUUAGCCAUGAGGCACUUGGCGGUGAUGUUCUCAUUGGGUGAGUCGAAGAGAGACAUCCGUGGAGUCAUCGCAAUGGCAACGGAGGCCAUGGCAACCGACUCACCAUCUUCAUCAUCGUCAUCAUCCUCAUUGUACUCUUCUUGUACCACCAAUGCCUUGGGAGGAGUCUUCUUGGUGAAGUUGCUCUUGUUGGGGAACGACUUGGCCUUGUCCUUUCGAAUGAGCUUGCCACCAUUGUCUUCCCUCUUCUCGUAAGGGCACUCCGCAACAAAGUGGCUCACAUUGCCACAAUUGAAGCAAGUCCUCACUCGUUGCUUGCCCUUUGUGCCACUUGAAUUGUUCUUGUUGAAGUUUGGCCUUGUGUUCUUCUUGCUCCAAAUUUGCCUUGAAGCAAGAGCCAUGUGUUCAUGAUAGGCAUGCUUCGUAUCUUCGAGGUUGCUCUCUUCUUCUUCCUCUUCAUCCUCUUCCUCCAUACUAACCUUGGCCUUUAGAGCAAGGUUGGGCUUCUUUACUCUUUGAGAGCGAAUAACCGCAUUGUCGGCGGUCUUGUCCAAGAUGCUCAUAGCAAUGAACUCAUCCAACACUUCACUUGAGGACAAGGUGUGGAAGUCCGGCCUUUGACGAAUGACGGAGGACAUGGCUUUGUGGUAGGGCAUCAUUGCCUUGAGGAAUUUGCACUUGAUCCAAUUGUCAUCCGUGUCCUUACUUCCAUGAUCUCAGAGAGAGACCGCGAGUUUGGUUACUCUCCGAAAAAGCUCACGAGGUUCUUCAUCUUCUUUCAUAGCAAACUCGUCGGCUUCAUCUUGCACCACUUCAUAGUUGGAGCGUUGAAUGCUUGCGCUUCCCCGAUAGAGGGAAACAACUUGGAGCCAAGCAUCUUUGGCCAUGGUGUAGGGCCGGAGAUGAGGAAGAUCUUCGGGUGGGAUUGCUUCUUGGAUGAUGAAGAGAGCAUUCUCAUUGAAUUGAUGAUCCACAACUUCUCUAGGAGUGAAGUUACUUCGGUCAUGCGGAUAGAAACCUUCUUCAAUGAUUCUCCAAAGGUUAGUGUUCACAUGAUUUAAAUGACGCUUAAAACGAUAGACCCAAGAAUCAAAAUCUACAUUCUUCUCAAUCUUAGGGGCCGGGCCGGCAUGAUUCAAAUGAGUGGAAGGGAGCGGUCCACCAUAGACAAGUGGAGGUUCCACAUGGGCAAAGAUGCCGGUGCCACUUUUACCACUAGAAGAAGGAGCUUUCUCGCUAGUAGCUUCCCCUUUGUCGAAGGUAGCAUCCGUCACCUUGUUGGCGGGAUCACCCACUUUCAACGGUGCGGUGGAAAGUUUAAGCCCUUCUAAGAAUUUAUUAAACAUGCUUUCGACCUUGGUAGUCAUGGAGGUUUUCAAUGUGUCCAACGCCACAUUGAAUUCCUCACGAGAGACCGCGGGACCCCCAUCUCCCGUAGACGAGACCAAAUUCACACCGGAGUGCUCCUCCACAUCGUCUACGACGUGAACCAUACUCUUCGGACGGUAAAGUCCUGAAUAAAGAGACGAGGCUCUGAUACCAAUUGAAAGGAUCGAUAUAGUUGACUAGAGGGGGGUGAAUAGGCAACUAACAAUUUUUAGCUUUUCUUUACCAAUUUAAACUUUGCAUCAAAGUAGGUUGUCUAGAUAUGAAACUAAGUGAGUAACCUAUAUGAUGCAAUGACAACAAGCACACAAGCAAGCAAGGGAUUUAACACAAGUAAGCUUGUGAAAGUAAAGGGACGAGAUAACCAAGAGUGGAGCCGGUGAAGACGAGGAUGUGUUACCAAAGUUCCUUCCUUUUGUGGGGAAGUACGUCUCCGUUUGAGCGGUGUGGAGGCACAAUGCUCCCCAAGAAGCCACUAGGGCCACCGUAUUCUCCUCACGCCCUCACACAAUGCGAGAUGCCGUGAUUCCACUAUUGGUGCCCUUGAAGGCGGCGACCGAACCUUUACAAACAAGGUUGGGGCAAUCUCCACAACUUAAUUGGAGGCUCCAAACGACACCACAAAGCUUCACCACAAUGGACUAUGGCUCCGCGGUGACCUCGACCGUCUAGGGUGCUCAAACACCCAAGAGUAACAAGAUCCGCUAGGGAUAAGUGGGGGGAAUCAAAUUUCUCUUGGUGGAAGUGUAGAUCGGGGCCUUCUCAACCAAUCCCGAGCAAAUCAACAAGUUUGAUUGGCUAGGGAGAGAGAUCGGGCGAAAAUGGAGCUUGGAGCAACAAUGGAGCUUUUGGGGGGAAGAGGUAGGUCAACUUUGGGGAAGAAGACCUCCUUAUAUAGUGGUGGGAACAAUCCAACCGUUACCCCACACAACAGCCCCGCAGAGGGCGGUACUACCGCAGGAGGCAGCGGUACUACCGCUGAUCACAGCGGUACUACCUCUCUCCCGGGCGGUACUACCGUGGAGUCUGGAGGGCAGGAGAGUGACAGACCCGAGCGGUACUGCCGCGGUGGUAGGGUGGUACUACCGCUCAUGAGCGGUACUGCCGCCCUACUGCCGCUGCAACGUACCACAUUAUCCGACACGAAAAAGACCCCUUGAGUUGACGCGGUAGGGGCCUGGUACCGUAGCGGUACUACUGCUGAUGACCCACCGGCGGUACUGCCGCCUGUGACCCCUAAGCGGUACUACCGCUGGGUACCGCGGUACUACCACUGGGACCAGACUCAGCCCAAAGAGAGAGGAAAGAUAUCUCCAAAGAAGCGGAAAGGCUCAGAGGGUAUAAAGAGGAUGUGUACGUGUUGAUUCCACCCUAGCCUUACCAAAGCGGACCCCCUCUCGAUAGUACGGUGACUCCUACGAAACUAAUCCACCAAAAGAAGCGAAAGAGCUACACCGUCUUGAAUGACACUCCGAGGGGAAAGAAAUCGUCUCGUGCCAAAUGAUGAAUCUCUGAAAUGCUCAAAGCACACGAUUAGUCCGCAAACAUGUUGUCAUCAAUCACCAAAACUACAUCUAGAGAGAUAUGCCUUAACACUUUCGACGUUAGUUGCCGAAGUAAACAGAGUUCUUGGAGAUGGACUGGGAAGAUGGAAGACACUGUUGAGCCAGGAAAGCUACCCUUUGACCAUGAUGCACCCCUCUUUCGUUCAUCGAAUAAAUUAUGUAUGCAUGAUGAUGAUGAUGUUAGUAAUGAUGAAUUUUCUAUGCAUGUCACAUUCAUGCACGAUCCAUUGACACUUGCAUGAUUCAUGGCUCUAUUUUGUGCUUAGAAAUACGAUGGUGACCCAUAGUUGUCGAUGCAUGAACUUGCAUAAAUUCCGUGAAUACCACCUUGAGAGAAAUCUUUCGAAAAGCCACAAUGGGUGCCACUAGUUCCCUUGGGAGAUGAUGAUGAGCUAGGUCACUACUUGAUGGAGAAGUACUACACCGAGGCAAGUUGAAUGUGUUGUUUCCAGAAAUGGAUUAGAUUUAAGAUUUGUCGACCGUCCCAACCAAACAUGCGCAACCACACUACCAUUAUAUGGGAAAGAACAUUAUUGACUACCUAGUUCGUGCUAGCAUGGAUGCUCACAUUACUAGUGACGAGAGUGGUGUGGACACUCUCGGGACGGGGUCGUGCUUGGAUAAGCAGCCAUGACUAUUUUUACAGGGCAUCAGACACACUGUUGGUACCUCCGUGCAUGGUUAUGUGAUAUGUCUAGGAGCAAGGCUCCAGAGACAGUGAUAAAAUUGUGAGAAUGUUUGGCAGGGGGGAUGUUACCAAUCGAGUAGACUCUAUGUUACUCACGACUAGGGAAAGGUAGUGAUCGGGUGCUCACCCCGGGAACUUGAGGUACCACGGGUCGUGGCUGACAUGGGAGUUCGCCGGAUCUUGUGUGUAAACUGUGCAACCUAAGCUGAGUGAAACUAUUUGAAUAGCCGUGUCCAUGGUCAAGGACAGUUGGAUGGUGCUGCUUCGACUAUGUACACGUGUUUGUGAAAAACAACACAGGCUGGCAACAUUGUUGUCGUGAAUCGUGAGGAAGGUCACGAUGAGCUUGAAAUGGAGUUGUGCAAUAACUCUCUCCCUUUAUGUUGAUAUUUGUAACCUCUUGUUGCAUGUUGGAGACACAUGCAUGACCCCUAAAAAGGUAUUGAUCAUACUUGCAUGAGGAAAACUAGCAUUCCUAGACAUGCCCGCUUAGAAUUGAAUCCAUGCAUAUUUAUUUUGUUAUCAUUCAUGGGUUGCUUGCGAGUACGUUCAAAUGUACUCAAUGGCUUCUCCCUAGCUAUUUACUUGGCCAGGCCUGGAAGAGCAUGAAUAUGAAAAGAGAUCUUUGGUGACGAACAUGCGAACUAGGACGCCUUCUGAUACGUCUCCAACGUAUCUAUAAUUUUUUAUUGUUCCAUGCUAUUAUAUUAUCUGUUUUGGAUGUUUAAUGGGCUUUAAUAUACCUUUUUAUAUUAUUUUUGGGACUAACCUAUUAACCGAAGGCCCAGUGCAAAUUGCUGUUUUUUUGCCUAUUUCAGUGUUUCGCAGAAAAGGAAUAUCAAACGGAAUCCAAACGGAAUGAAACCUUCGCGAGGAUCAUUUUUGGAACAAACGCAAUCCAGGAGACUUGGAAUGGAGGUCAAGAAAGCCAAGAGGAGGCCACGAGGCAGGAGGGCGCGCCCCAAGGGGGUGGGUGCGCCCCCCACCCUCGUGGGCCCCUCGCAGCUCCACCGACCUACUUCUUUUGCCUAUAUAUACUCUUAUACCCUGAAACCUUCGGGGAGAGCCACGUAACACUUUUUCCACCGCCGCAACCUUCUGUACCCGUGAGAUCCCAUCUUGGGGCCUUUUACGGUGCUCCGCCGGAGAGGGAAUCGAUCAUGGAGGGCCUCUACAUCAACACCAUGGCCUCUCCGAUGAUGCGUGAGUAGUUUACCACAGACCUUCGGGUCCAUAGUUAUUAGCUAGAUGGCUUCUUCUCUCUCUUUGGAUCUCAAUACAAAGUUCUCCUCGAUUCUCUUGGAGAUCUAUUCGAUGUAACUCUUUUUGCGGUGUGUUUGCCGAGAUCCGAUGAAUUGUGGGUUUAUGAACUUGAUUAUCUAUGAAUAUUAUUUGAUUCUUCUCUGAAUUCUUAUAUGCAUGAUUUGAUAUCUUUGCAAAUCUCUUCGAAUUAUCGGUUUAGUUUGGCCUACUAGAUUGAUCUUUCUUGCAAUGGGAGAAGUGCUUAGCUUUGGGUUCAAUCUUGCGGUGUCCUUUCCCAGUGAUAGCAGGGGCAGCAAGGCACGUAUUAUAUUGUUGCCAUCGAGGAUAAAAAGAUGGGGUUUAUAUCAUAUUGCUUGAGUUUAUCCCUCUACAUCAUGUCAUCUUGCCUUAUGUGUUACUCCGUUCUUAUGAACUUAAUACUCGAGAUGCAUGCUGGAUAGCGGUCGAUGUGUGGAGUAAUAGUAGUAGAUGCAGAAUCGUUUCGGUCUACUUGACACGGACGUGAUGCCUAUAUUCAUGAUCAUUGCCUUAGAUAUCAUCAUAACUAUGCACUAUUCUAUAAAUUGCUCGGCAGUAAUUUGUUCACCCACCGUAAUACAUGCUAUCUUGAGAGAAGCCACUAGUGAAACCUAUGGCCCCCGGGUGUACUUUCCAUCAUAUUAAUCUUCCUUCAACUAGCUAUUUCUGUCGCCGUUUAUUUUGCAAUCUUUACUUUCCAAUCUAUACAACAAAAAUACCAAAAUAUUUAUCUUAUUAUCUCUAUCAGAUCUCACUUUUGCAAGUGGCCGUGAAGGGAUUGACAACCCCUUUAUCGCGUUGGUUUUAAGGUUCUUAUUUGUUUGUGCAGGUACUAGGCGAUUUGCGUGUAGUCUCCUAUUGCAUUGAUACCUUGGUUCUCAAAAACUGAGGGAAAUACUUACGCUACUUUGCAGCAUCACCCUUUCCUCUUCAAGGGAAAACCAACGCAUGCUCAAGAGGUAGCAAGAAGGAUUUCUGGCGCCGUUGCCGGGGAGAUCUACGCAGAAGUCAAGGCAUACCAAGUACCCAUCACAAACUCUUAUCCCUCACAUUACAUUAAUUGUCAUUUGCCUCUCGUUUUCCUCUCCCCCACUUCACCCUUACCGUUUUAUUCGCCCUUUUUUGUUCAUCGCUUUUUGCUUGCUUCUUGUUUGCUUGUGUGUUGGAUUGAUUGAUUGUCACGAUGGCUCAAGACAAUACUAAAUUGUGUGAAUUUUCCAAUACCAACAAUAAUUAUUUUAUUAGCACUCCGAUUGCUCCUAUUACCGAUGCUGAAUCUUGUGAAAUUAAUGCUGCUUUGUUGAAUCUUGUCAUGAAAGAUCAAUUUUCUGGCCUUCCUAGUGAAGAUGUCGCUACCCAUCUAAACAACUUCGUUGAUUUGUGUGAUAUGCAAAAGAAGAAAGAUGUGGAUAAUAAUAUUGUUAAAUUGAAGCUAUUUUCGUUUUCGCUUAGAGAUCGUGCUAAAACUUGGUUCUCUUCUUUGCCUAAAAAUAGUAUUGAUUCAUGGAAUAAGUGCAAAGAUGCUUUUAUCUCUAAGUAUUUUCCUCCCGCUAAGAUCAUCUCUCUCAGAAACGAUAUUAUGAAUUUUAUGCAACUUGAUCAUGAGCAUGUUGCACAAGCUUGGGAGAGGAUGAAAUUAAUGAUACGUAAUUGCCGUACACAUGGUUUGAAUUUAUGGAUGAUUAUACAAAAAAAUAUGUUGGAUUGAAUUUUGCUUCUGGAUAUCUUUUAGAUUUGGCCGCGGGAGGCACUUUAUGGAAAUCACUUUAGGAGAAGCUACUAAACUCCUAGAUAAUAUUAUGGUUAAUUAUUCUCAAUGGCACACCGAAAGAUCUACUAGUAAAAAGGUUCAUGCGAUAGAAGAGAUUAAUGUCUUGAGUGGAAAGAUGGAUGAACUUAUGAAAUUGUUUGCUAAUAAGAGUGUUUAUUCUGAUCCUAAUGAUAUGCCUUUGUCUACUUUGAUUGAGAAUAAUAAUGAAUCUGUGGAUGUGAAUUUUGUUGGUAGGAACAAUUUUGGUAACAACGUGUAUAGAGGAAACUUUAAUUCCAGGCCGUUCCCUAGUAAUUCCUCUAAUAAUUAUGGUAAUUCCUACAACAACUCUUAUGGAAAUUUUAAUAAGAUGCCCUCUGAUUUUGAGACUAGUGUUAAAGAAUUUAUGAAUUCGCAAAAGAAUUUCAAUGCUUUGCUUGAAGAAAAAUUGCCUAAGAUUGAUGAGUUGGCUAGGAACGUGGAUAUAAUUUCUCUUGAUGUUGAUUCUUUGAAACUUAGAUCUAUUCCACCUAAGCAUGAUAUCAAUGAGUCUCUCAAAGCUAUGAGAAUUUCCAUUGAUGAGUGCAAAGAAAGAACCGCUAGGAUGCGUGCUAAAAAAGAUUGCUUUGUGAAAGGUGUUCGUCUAGUUUUCAUGAUAAUAAUAAUGAAGAUCUAAAAGUGAUUGAUGUGUCUCCUAUUAAAUCUUUGUUUCCCAAUAUGAAUCUUGAUAAUGAUGGGACUGGAUAUGAGUCAACUUUAGUUAAAAGGCGUCCCAAUGAUUCGGAGUUUUUAGAUCUUGAUGCAAAAAUUGGUAAAAGUGGGAUUGAAGAGGUCAAAACUUUACAUAGCAAUGAACCCACUAUUUUGGAUUUCAAGGACUUUAAGUAUGAUAAUUGUUCUUUAAUAGAUUGUAUUUCCUUGUUGCAAUCCGUGUUAAAUUCUCCUCAUGCUUAUAGUCAAAAUAAAGCUUUAACAAACAUAUCGUUGAUGCUUUAAUGCAAUCCUAUGAAGAAAAGCUUGAAUUGGAAGUUUCUAUCCCUAGAAAACUCUAUGAUUAGUGGGAACCUACUAUUAAAAUUAAGAUUAAAGAUCAUGAAUGCUAUGCUUUAUGUGAUUUGGGUGCUAGUGUUUCCACGAUUCCCAAAACUUUGUGUGAUGUGCUAGGUUUCCGUGAAUUUGAUGAUUGUUCUUUAAAUUUGCAUCUUGCGGAUUCCACCAUUAAGAAACCUAUGGGAAGGAUUAAUGAUGUUCUUAUUAUUGCAAAUAGAAAUUAUGUGCCCAUAGAUUUCAUUGUUCUUGGUAUAUAUUGCAAUCCUACAUCUCCUAUUAUUCUUGGUAGACCUUUCCUUAGAACGAUUGGUGCAAUUAUUGAUAUGAAAGAAGGAAAUAUUAGAUUCCAAUUCCCAUUAAGGAAAGGCAUGGAACACUUUUCUAGGAAGAAAAUUAAAUUACAAUAUGAAUCUAUUAUGAGAGCCACUUAUGGAUUGCAUACCAAAGAUGAUAAUACCUAGAUCCAUUCUUGUUUUUAUGCCUAGCUAGGGGCGUUAAACGAUAGCGCUUGUUGGGAGGCAACCCAAUUUUAAUUGUCUUGCUUUUUGUUUCUGUUUAGUAAUAAAUAAUUCAUCUAGCCUCUGUUUAGAUGUGUUUUUAUGUUUUAAUUAGUGUUUGUGCCAAGUAGAACCAAUAGGAUCUUCUUGGGUGAUAGUUGUUUGAUCUUGCUGAAAAAGACAGAAACUUUACGCUCACGAAACUAAUUGUUAAACUUCACCAGAACGUGAUAAAUUGCUAAUUAUUUUUUCAGUAGAUCAAUAUACAAAUUAUCCAGGUUAUCCUAGUUUUUCAGAAUUUUUGGAGUUCCAGAAGUGUUCGAACAAAUCAGAUUGCUACAGACUGUUCUGUUUUGGACAGAUUCUGUUUUUCGUGUGUUGUUUGCUUAUUUUGAUGAAUCUAUGGCUAGUAUCGGGGGGUAUGAACCAUAGAGAAGUUGGAAUACAGUAGGUUUAACACCAAUAUAAAUAAAGAAUGAGUUCAUUAUAGUACCUUAAGGUGGUGGUUUGUUUUCUUAUACUAACGGAGCUCAUGAGAUUUUCUGUUGAGUUUUGUGUUGUGAAGUUUUCAAGUUUUUGGGUAAAGAUUUGAUGGAUUUUGGAAUAAGGAGUGGCAAGAGCCUAAGCUUGGGUAUGCCCAAGGCACCCCAAGGUAAAAUUUAAGUACAACCAAAAGCCUAAGCUUGGGGAUGCCCCGGAAGGCAUCCCCUCUUUCGUCUUCGUCUAUCGGUAACUUUACUUGAGGCUAUAUUUUUAUUCACCACAUGAUAUGUGUUUUGCUUGGAGCGUCUUGUAUGAUUUGAGUCUUUGCUUGUUAGUUUACCACCAUUAUCCUUGCUGUACACACCUUUUGGAGAGACACACAUGAAUCGGAAUUUAUUAGAAUACUCUAUGUGCUUCACUUAUAUCUUUUGAGCUAGAUAAUUUUUGCUCUAGUGCUUCACUUAUAUCUUUUAGAGCACGGUGGUGGUUAUAUUUUAUAGAAAUUAUUGAUCUCUCAUGCUUCACUUAUAUUAUUUUGAGAGUCUUUUAGAACAGCAUGGUAAUUUGCUUUGGCUAUAAAAUUAGUCCUAAUAUGAUAGGCAUUCAAGAUGGGUAUGAUAAAAACUUUCAUAUAGAGUGCAUUGAAUAUUGAUACUUGAUAAUGGUUUUGAGAUAUAAAGUUGGUAAUGUUAGAGUCAUGCUAGUUGGGUAAUUGUGAAAUUGAGAAAUACUUGUGUUAAAGUUGGCGAGUCCUAUAGCAUGCACGUAUGGUAAACGUUGUGUGACAAAUUUGAAGCAUGGGGUGUUCAUUGAGUGCUUUCCUUAUGAGUGGCGGUCGGGGACGAGCGAUGGUCUUUUCCUACCAAUCUAUCCCUCUAGGGGCAUGCGUAGUAGUACUUUGCUUCGAGGGCUAAUAAACUUUUGCAAUAAGUAUAUGAGUCCUUUAUGACUAAUGUGAGUCCAUGUAUCAUACGCACUCUUACCUUUCCGCAAUUUGCUAGCCUCUACGGUACCGUGCAUUGCCCUUUCUCACCUUGAGAGUUGGUGCAAACUUCGCUGGUGCAUCCAAACCCCGUGAUACGAUACGCUCUAUCACACAUAAGCCUCCUUAUAUCUUCCUCAAAACAGCCACCAUACCUACCUAUUAUGGCAUUUCCAUAGCCAUUCCGAGAUAUAUUGGCAUGCAACUUUCCACCGUUCCGUUCAUUAUGACACGCUCCAUCAUUGUCAUAUUGCUUUGCAUGGUCAUGUAGUUGACAUCGUAUUUGUGGCUAAGUCACUUUCAUAAUUCCUUCAUACAUGUCGCUCUUGAUUCAUCGCAUAUCCCGGUACACCACCGGAGGCAUUCACAUAGAGUCAUAUUUUUGUUCUAGUAUCGAGUUGUAACAUUGAGUUAUGAGUAAAUAAAAGUGUGAUGAUCAUCAUUAUUAGAGCAUUGUCCCAUGUGAGGAAAGACUAUGGAAAAAAAGGGAGGCCAAAGAAGCCCAAAUAAAAAAAAGAGGCCAAAGAAGCCCAAAUAAAAAAAGAGGCCAAAGAAGCCCAAACAAAAAAAGAGAGAAAAAGAGAGAAGGGACAACGUUACUAUCCUUUUUCCACACUUGUGCUUCAAAAUAGCACCAUGAUCUUCAUGAUAGAGUUUCUUAUUUUGUCACUUUCAUAUACUAGUGGAAAUCUUUCAUUAUAGAACUUGGCUUGUAUAUUCCAAUGAUGGGCUUCCUCAAAAUGCCCUAGGUCCUCGUGAGCAAGAAAGUUGGAUGCACACCCACUUAGUUUCUUUUGAUGAGCUUUCAUACACUUAUAGCUCUAGUGCAUCAAUUGCAUGGCAAUCCCUACUCCUCGCAUUGACAUCAAUUGAUGGGCAUCUCCAUAGCCCGUUGAUUAGCCGCGUUAAUGUGAGACUUUCUCCUUUUUUGUCUUCUCACAUAACCCCCAUCAUCAUAUGCUAUUCCACCUGUGUGCUAUAUCCAUGGCUUGCGCUCAUGUAUUGCGUAAGGGUUGAAAAGGCGGAAGCGCGUUAAAAAGUAUGAACCAAUUCCUCGGCUUGUCAUCGGGGUUAUGCAUAAUGGGAGCAUUUUGUGUGACGAAAAUGAAGCAUGGCCAAACUAUAUGAUUUUGUAGGGAUGAGCUUUCUUUCGCUAUGUUAUUUUGAUAAGACAUAAUUGCUUGGUUAGUAUGCUUGAAGUAUUACUAUUUUUAUGUCAAUAUUAAAUUUUUAUCUUGAAUCUUUUGGAUCUGAACAUUCAUGCCACAAUAAAGAGAAUUACAUUGAAAAUUAUGUUAGGUAGCAUUCCACAUCAAAAAUUAUGUUUUUAUCAUUUACCUACUCGAGGACGAGCAGGAAUUAAGCUUGGGGAUGCUUGAUACAUCUCCAACGUAUCUAUAAUUUUUGAUUGCUCCAUGCUAUUAUAUUAUAUGUUUUGGAUGUUUAAUGGGCUUUAAUAUACCUUUUUAUAUUAUUUUUGGGACUAACCUAUUAACCGAAGGCCAGUGCAAAUUGCUGUUUUUUUUUCCUAUUUUAGUGUUUCGCAGAAAAGGAAUAUCAAACGGAAUGAAACCUCGCGAGGAUCGUUUUUGGAACAAACGCAAUCCAGGAGACUUGGAGUGGAGGUCAAGAAAGGCACGAGGAGCCCACGAGGCAGGAGGGCGCGCCCCAGGGAGGUGGGGCGCGCCCCCCACCCUCAUGGGCCCCUCGCAGCUCCACCGACCUACUUCAUUCGCCUAUAUAUACUCUUAUACCCUGGAACCUUCGGGGAGAGCCACGAAACACUUUUUCCACCGCCGCAACCUUCUGUACCCGUGAGAUCCCAUCUUGGGGCCUUUUCCGGCGCUCCGCCGGAGGGGGAAUCGAUCAUGAAGGGCCUCUACAUCAACACCAUGGCCUCUUCGAUGAUGCGUGAGUAGUUUACCACAGACCUUCGGGUCCAUAGUUAUUAGCUAGAUGGCUUCUUCUCUCUCUUUGGAUCUCAAUACAAAGUUCUCCUCGAUUCUCUUGGAGAUCUAUUCGAUGUAACUCUUUUUGCGGUGUGUUUGCCGAGAUCCGAUGGAUUGUGGAUUUAUGAACUUGAUUAUCUAUGAAUAUUAUUUGAUUCUUCUCUGAAUUCUUAUAUGCAUGAUUUGAUAUCUUUGCAAAUCUCUUCGAAUUAUCGGUUUAGUUUGGCCUACUAGAUUGAUCUUUCUUGCAAUGGGAGAAGUGCUUAGCUUUGGGUUCAAUCUUGCGGUGUCCUUUCCCAGUGACAGCAGGGGCAGCAAGGCACGUAUUGUAUUGUUGCCAUCGAGGAUAAAAAGAUGGGGUUUAUAUCAUAUUGCUUGAGUUUAUCCCUCUACAUCAUGUCAUCUUGCCUAAUGCGUUACUCCGUUCUUAUGAACUUAAUACUCGAGAUGCAUGCUGGAUAGCGGUCGACGUGUGGAGUAAUAGUAGUAGAUGCAGAAUCGUUUCGGUCUACUUGACACGGACGUGAUGCCUAUAUUCAUGAUCAUUGCCUUAGAUAUCAUCAUAACUAUGCACUAUUCUAUCAAUUGCUCGGCAGUAAUUUGUUCACCCACCGUAAUACAUGCUAUCUUGAGAGAAGCCACUAGUGAAACCUAUGGCCCCCGGGUGUACUUUCCAUCAUAUUAAUCUUCCUUCAACUAGCUAUUUCUGUCGCCGUUUAUUUUGCAAUCUUUACUUUCCAAUCUAUACAACAAAAAUACCAAAAAUAUUUAUCUUAUGAUCUUUAUCAGAUCUCACUUUUGCAAGUGGCCGUGAAGGGAUUGACAACCCCUUUAUCAUGUUGGUUGCAAGGUUCUUAUUUGUUUGUGCAGGUACUAGGCGAUUUGCGUGUAGUCUCCUACUGCAUUGAUACCUUGGUUCUCAAAAACUGAGGGAAAUACUUACGCUACUUUGCUGCAUCACCCUUUCCUCUUCAAGGGAAAACCAACGCAUGCUCAAGAGGUAGCACCUUCCCAGUCAGAAUGCAUGUAGGGUUAAGGCAGAUGGCAUGGGUCCAAGUUUUCGUAGAAGAUUUUUGCUACUUUGUUUUAUUUGUUGUUUAGCCCCAGAGGCCCUAUCUAUGUAAGAUUUGACCAUAAUGGUCCUAUUUAUGUAAGGCGCUAUGUAAUGGAUGUAAACUCUUGAUAUUCAGUCUAUUGUGUACGGUCAGCAUUGAUCCUUGGGAUCACUAUGCACGCACAAACGGUGGCGUCGACUGUAUAAGUCGGGGUCCCCACAGACUCCGACAAAAUUUUCGCACAUAUGUGUGAAGACGGACAUGCAAGUUAUGGCGUUCGGUGUGAAGUCAAGGAGGUUGAACCCGCAAGUGUAUAUGACCUCAGCGAAGAAAUCGGAGAAUAGGGAGCAAGCCUGCAAUAGAAAUACACGGUGAAGAAAGGGUAGUUUUCCCGCUGGGUUUCACGGAGCCGGGAAGAACCAGUGGUGUGGGAUGGGCCGUCGUUUCCCUCCCCCACAUGAGUGAGAACGCGCUACCAAAUCCUCCUGCUUUAGCACUGGCGCGAAGACGACGUUGUUCCUCCGCAGCGCCGCCAUCUCUUUCCUCCUGUCCUCGGCCUCUGAGGGGGUUACAUUCUUGGCCUUGCCCUGGACCUUCAUGGGUGCCAGAGUGGUCACCAAGGAUGUGGAUUCCGUGGGGUGGAUUGAGGAAUAGCGCGGCGGGGCGGCGGGUGGAAGGAGCAGAGUGCUUUGUUCUUUGCGCGUGGAGGAAGAUGAAGGAGGUGGCUACUAGAUUGGGAGCGGAAGGGGGUAAAUGAGCAGCGCCUCUCACAGUUUCCUUUUUAUGGGGAAGGCGCGGAGGCUGGCUCCUUUCCAUCCUACGUGGUUGCACUUUUCAGGCGCACUGCCCCCUGCAGCCAUUUCGUUCCACCUCUCCCACGUUCCACAUUUAAUGCGCAUCAUGGGGGCGUGAUAAAAGAGAAGAUUACAACAGCUAUUCCCUGCCAUGCGUGCCUGUGCACUGUUUGGGCCUAGCCCAACGACGCCUCGCAUGCGUGUACGGUCCAGGCCCGGGUGCUCCUGUUAGUGUACUAAAAUAGGGGUCCUUUAGUACCCCAGACUUGUGCACAGGUAGUUGUAGCCCUCCGGACGGCAAGGGCUUCCCAUAGGAUAGCUCAACCCAAGCCUCACCUCUUGGUCACCAAGACCGUUAAGAAGACCUCGAGGCAAGUCAUCAACAAGUACUAAGUUAGCACUGAAGAUCAAGACCUCAGUUGCCAGCAAGCUUCGCACCGGCAAGCCAAGACUCGGCAAGCUCCUUGCUAGAAACCUCUCCCUCUCACCCUUUGGCCACUCCACCUCAUCGACCGGCUAAUGACUUGUCAAGUGAGGUGUUGAACGGGCAGGUGGCCUAAGGGGGGUCAACAAGACGCGUGACGGCACCUCUCAUGCAUAUCAACUUUAUUGAUACCUGUAUAGUGGACGUGUCAAGAAGAUAGGUUCAUCCACGUCGACGGCACAGGAGAGACACCUUUUGCCGAAGGAUGGCCACCAGCUCACGGAGCAUUAAAUGCCCUUGUCCUACUCCGACAAGAUUAGGUUGGAUAGCAUCAUGACUACUAUUCACAUGCUUGUAAUGACCAUGUUGCCACUGCGGUGACCCCUUUUUGUCUAUAAAAGGAGGCCCAUGGCUACCUUGGCACGGGUCGACACCCUGCUCACGCUUACACAGUAGUUGCACCUUGCUCAUGUUUUUUCGGCAGGCUGCACUUGUAACUUGAGCCCCAAGUCAAGCCACCCAAACAUAGGAGUAGGGUUUUACGCCUCCCCAGCGGCCCGAACCUAACAAACUCCCGCGUGUGAACUAAUGGAUUUGCUCUCUGUGCAUUGUCGAUAACCCUAGCUGAACUGCAAAGGGAUCACCGUCGAUCCCAUAGAUCGUCGUACUUCGACAAGUAAUACUAGAGAACUUAAACCCUCUAAACAAAUUAUAGUGGAACCUAAUAUUGCUAUGGCUAAAGAUCUCUUGGUUCAUAAUAUUGAUGGGCAUGUUAUUUACUUCUGUGAUGAAGCUGCUAGAAUUGCUAAACCUGCUAGAAAUGAACAAGAUAUAAUAGAUAAGAAUAAGCCAGUAGUUGGCAAGCCUAUUGUUUCUGUUAAAAUUGGAGAUCACUGCUAUCAUGGUUUAUGUGACAUGAGUGUAGUGUGAGUGCUAUUCCAUUUACUUUAUAUCAAGAUAUCAUGAAUGAUAUUGCUCCUGCUGAGAUUGAGGACAUUGAUGUUACUAUUAAGCUUGGGAAUAGAGAUACUAUUUCACCACUUGGGAUUGUUCUAGAUGUUGAAGUAUUGUGUGGUAAGAUCAAAUCCCAUACUGAUUUCUUAGUACUUGGUUGACAACAAGAUAAUAUUUGUCCCAUUAUAUUUGGCAGGCCUUUCUUGAAUACCGUUAUUGCUGAAAUUGAGUGUGUUAAAGAAAAUGUUAGAGUUAAUUUUGGUGAUGUAUCUCAUGAGUUUAAAUUCUCUAUGUUUCUAUUGUCUAGUAAAGAUGAAAUUAUUGGACUUGCUUCUAUUGUUGUACCUCCUACUGAUCCUUUAGAACAAUAUUUGCUAGACCAUGAGAAUGGUAUGCGUAAAUGAAAGAAAUGAAAUAGAUGAGAUAUUGUUUAAACAAGCACCUGUCCUUAAACAUAAUUUGCCUUUCAAAACUCUUGGAGAUCCUCUUCCACGUAAGAGUGAUCCUGUGUUUCAAUUAAAAAAUUACAUGAUACACUGAAAUAUGCUUAUCUUGAUGAAAAGAAGAUAUAUCCUAUUAUUAUCAAUGUUAACCUUUCAGAGCAUGAAGAAAAGAGAUUACUGAUAACUCUGAGGAAGCACCAUGCUGCUAUUGGAUAUAAUCUUGACAAUCUUAAGGGAAUUAGUCCCACUUUAUGUCAGCACAAGAUUAAUAUGGAGCCUGGUGCUAAACCAGUCGUCGAUCACCAACGUCAUUUGAAUCCUAAGAUGAAGGAUGUGGUAAGAACUGAAAUAUUAAAGCUUCUAGAAGCAAGUAUAAUUUAUCCCAUAGCUGAUAGUAGAUGGGUAAGUCAUGUUCAUUGUGUCUCUAAGAAAGGAGGAAUUACCGUUGUUCCUAAUAAUAAAAAUGAACUUAUCCCACAAAGAAUUGUAACUGGUUAUAUGAUAUGGUAAUUGAUUUCAGGAAAUUAAAUAAAGCUACUAGAAAAUAUCAUUACCCAUUGCCUUUUAUUGAUCAAAUGUUUGAAAUAUUAUCUAAGCAUACAUAGUUUUGUUUCCUUGAUGGAUAUUCUGGUUUUUCUCAAAUACCUGUGUCAAAAGAAGAUCAAGAGAAAACUACUUUUACUUGUCCUUUUGGAACUUAUGCUUAUAGACGUAUGCCUUUUGGUUUAUGUAAUGCACCUGCUACCGUUCAAAGAUGUAUGACUGCUAUAUUCUCUGACUUUUGUGAAAAGAUUGUUGAGAUAUUCAUGGAUGAUUUUUCCGUUUACGAGACUUCUUUUGAUGAUAGCUUGAGCAACCUUGAUCAAGUUCUGCAUGGAUGUGAAGAAACUAAUCUUGUCUACAUGUGCCACUUUAUGGUGAAUGAAGGUAUAAUACUUGGGCAUAAAAUUUCCGAACGAGAUAUUGAGGUAGAUAAAGGUAAGGUUGAUGGAAUUGAGAAAAUGCCAUGUUUUCCAUGGUCAUGUUGGUUUCUAUAGAAGAUUCAUCAAAGAUUUAUCUAAGAUUUCUAGGAAGCUAACUAAUCUCCUUCAAAAAGAUGUUCCAUUUGCUUUUGAUGAUGAUUGUGUAGAAGCCUUUGAAAUACUUAAGAAAGCCUUAAUUUUUACACCUAUUAUUCAACCACCUGAUUGGAACCUACCCUUUGAAAUUAUGUGUGAUGCUAGUGAUUAUGCUAUUGGUGUUGUUCUAGGUGAAGGAGUUGAUAAUAAAUUGAAUGUUAUUCAUCAUUAUGGUAAGACUCUAGACAGUGCUCAAGGAAAUUAUGCUACUACCGAGAAAGAAUUUUUAGCAAUUGUAUUUGAAUGUGAUAAAUUUAGACCCUAUAUUGUUGACUCUAAAGUUACCAUUCAUACUAGUCAUGUUGCUAUUAAAUAUAUUAUGGAAAAUAAAGAUGCUAAACCUAGAUUAAUUAGGUGGGUAUUAUUAUUACAAGAGUUUGAUUUGCAUAUUGUUCAUAGAAAGGGAGCUGAGAAUCCUGUAACAGAUAACUUGUCUAGGAUGGAAAAUGUUCUUGAUGACCCACUUCCUAUUGAUGAUAGUUUUCCUGAUGAGCAAUUAGGUAUUAUAAAUGCUCCUCAUAUGCUAAUUACGUUGUUGCUAAAUAUAUACCACAUAGUUUCACAUAACAACAAAAGAAAAAGUAGUUCUUUGAUUUAAGACAUUACUUUUGGGAUGACCCACAUCUAUAUAAAGGAGUAGAUGGUGUUAUUAGACGUUGUGUACCUGAGCAUGAACAUGAACAAGUCCUACAGACGUGUCACUCUGAGGCUUAUGGAGGGCGCCAUGCUAGAGACAGAACUGCACAUAAGGUAUUACAGUCUGGUUUUUGUUGGCCUACUCUCUUCAAAGAUGCACACAAGGUUGUAUUAUCUUGUGAUGAAUGUUAAAGAACUGGCAAUAUUGGUAUACGUCAGGAAAUGCCUUUGAAUUAUUCACUUGUUAUUGAACCAUUUGAUGUUUGGGGUUUUGAUUGUAUGGGAUCUUUUCCUUCCUGUAAUGGGUAUACUCAUAUUUUAGUUGCUGUUGAUUACGUUACUAAGUGGGUAGAAGCUAUUCCAACUAGUAGUGCUGAUAAUAAAACCUCUAUUAAAAUGCAUAAAAAAGUUAUUUUUCCAAGGUUUGGUGUCCCUAGAUAUUUAAUGACGGAUGGUGGUCCACAUUUUAUUCAUGGUGUUUUCCGUAAACUUCUUGCUAAAUAUGAUGUCAAGCAUAGGAUUGCAUCACCUUAUCAUCCUCAGCUAGUGGUCAAGUUGAAUUGAUCAAUAGAGAAAUAAAAGUAAUUUUUCAAAUGACCGUUAAUAGAUCCAGAAAGAAUUGGUCUAAGAACCUUGAUGAUGCACAUUGGGCUUAUAGAACUGCUUAUAAAAACCCUAUGGGAAUAUCUCCAUAUAAAAUGGUCUGUGGAAAAGCAUGUCAUGUACCUCUUGAGUUAGAACAUAAAUCUUAUUACGCAAUAAAAGAACUUAAUUAUGAUUUCAAACUAGCCGUGAAAAGAGGUUAUUUGAUAUUAGCUCAUUAGAUGAAUGGAGGACAAAAGCUUAUGAAAGUGCUAAGUUAUUUAAAGAAAAAUGUUAAAAGAUGGCGUAACAAAAGAAUCCAAAAACGGGAAUUUAUAGUAGGGAUCAAGUUCUGUUAUACAAUUCUCGUUUCAAAUUCUUUGCAGGAAGGCUUCUCUCUAAAUGGGAAGGACCAUAUAUCAUCAAAGAAGUUUAUCGCUUUGGAGCUAUCAAGAUCAACAACGUUGAAGGCACCAAUCCGAGAGUUGUUAAUGGGCAAUAAUUAAACAUUAUAUGUCAGGUACGGCCAUUAAUGUUGAACUAAUAUUAUUCAAGUAAUGACACCGGAGGAGCACAUAGAAGAGACCUUCUAGAACGCUCCAAAACCCUGAAAAGGAAUAGGUAUGUGGUAUGAUAAGUAAACGGACUCCAAAAGUUCCAUAAAAGUACUUUUUGUUAGUUUUGGAAUAUAUAAAAAAUUAGAAAAAUAAUAAACAAUAAAGAAAGUUGGAUGCGACAAGCCCAGGGGGCACGCCCUACUCCUUGGGCGCGCCUCCCGAGCUUGUGGCUCCCUCAUGGACUUUCCGGACACCAUUUUUCUUCAUAUUACUUGUCCUGCACGAAAAAAUGUCAUUAUAUAUACUCUCGGAUGUUUUGAUCACCGUAUCGCAAGUUUCUCCUCUGUUCUUGUUUCAGGCUGUUUUGACCACCGGCUCGGGACGAGGCCAACUGCCAGAUCGUGCACCGCGCUGCUCGGGCAUCCCUUGAGCGGCAGCACCUGGACCGGGUCGCCCAAGAAGUCGCGGCUCCAGGGCGCCAAGACCGAGCUACCCACGCGCGGGGCGCGCCCAUGAGGGUGGAUUUAGAUGGGAUAUCAACCUGGCCGGGUUUAACCGAAGACGCAUAUAAGGCAGGUCAGGAUCCUACCCCGACCGAGGUCAAAACCACGUGGAUUAGGCCAAAACCCCACCGAUCCCGACGGGGGCGAGGAUGGCGGGUCGAGGAUUAAUCGAACAAAGCCUUAGUUGAUAUCCCAGGUAAAACUACGACGACGUGGAAUGCAACGAUGUGGAAAGCAUUUCCAGUGUCCCGUUUAAGCAGAAGGUUUUGCAUUUUCUUUCCUCAGGAACUUGACCGACUCACGGACAAGUUUGAAAUUCUUUCUACUCCCUCCGUUCCUAAAUAUAAGUCUUUCUAGGGAUUUCAAUAUAAACUAUACAGAUAUAUAUAGACAUAGUUUAGAGUGUAGAUUAACUCAUUUUGCUUCGUAUGUAUCUUCAUACUAGAGGAACAGGGGCGCUUUUGCUGCGCCCGCUUACAUAGUUUCAUUUGGCCUUUGCUCGUACAAUACUAUAUUGUCAUUUUAUGGGACUGAAUUUGGAAGAAGCGCUCAUGGUUUCCACAUCAGUUUUUUUCCACACAUCUCAUCUUUUUAAAAGCAAAGGGUGCAGAUACCCACAUAUUCUUGGCUUACAUAUCAGUUCUAUAAAUUUACAGAACCUAGUUUCUUGCGUUUGAAAACAAACAGAGCAAAUAAAGCAGGGGCGUCCAUCUCUUCUAGAGUAAAUUUAAUGCAGAAAUUUAGCAAAGACAAAAUGAGUAUUCACUGCCUAGCACCAAGAGAGAAUGCUGAUACUCGUACAUUAUUUGUUUGCACAUCAGUUCUAUAAAAUUUGGAGGGACUAAUGUGUUAUGCUACAAAGAAACAGGGCAAGUGAGUGGGGCAAUCUUUGUCAAAAAUAGAUCUACUGCAGGAAUUAGUAAAGAUGGAUGGAUACUUCUUGUCUUGCUGGGAGAGGAUGCUCAAGUCCGCACAUUGAUCUGCGGUGGUGAGCAAGACUGCGGAUACACUGGUGCUUGGCCGAGAAAUGCAAGCGGAGGCAGCUAGAACGAUGAUGAAGUGGCUGGUUUUCCUUGGGAUGGAGACGGUGUGUGUAAGCUUGGUCGGCUGGACGCUGCACUCAAGGAGCGAGACGUUGAUGCUGACGGAGGAACCGUGGCGGCGGACUGACCAGUCCCAGGCUUCAGCCAUGCGACGGAUCUUGGACACAUGCAUAUCAGCAAUGAGCCGGGUGUUGGGCACUUGAGCUUGAUGUUAUCGCCGCCGCGCAGAAAAUCUGGUGUCUGGUGAAGCAGUCGCCCAUCUCCGGGAUGCCGAAGGCCUUGCCCAGCCCCGCGUCAUGCACGGCGCGCUCAGAGGCGGUGGUCAUGCUGAAGUAAUUCCGGAGCACAUCCACCAUGCAGGGCACGGCGGCGACCCACACCAUCCACAGCGGAUCGUCCAGGAAGCAUGGAUUCAGCCUCCCUCCCCAAAAAUCGCCACCGUCCCAAGCAACCAGGCGAGAUCGGAAAAAUACUUGCUUGCAAGGGCGCAUNNNNNNNNNNNNNNNNNNNNNNNNNNNNNNNNNNNNNNNNNNNNNNNNNNNNNNNNNNNNNNNNNNNNNNNNNNNNNNNNNNNNNNNNNNNNNNNNNNNNNNNNNNNNNNNNNNNNNNNNNNNNNNNNNNNNNNNNNNNNNNNNNNNNNNNNNNNNNNNNNNNNNNNNNNNNNNNNNNNNNNNNNNNNNNNNNNNNNNNNNNNNNNNNNNNNNNNNNNNNNNNNNNNNNNNNNNNNNNNNNNNNNNNNNNNNNNNNNNNNNNNNNNNNNNNNNNNNNNNNNNNNNNNNNNNNNNNNNNNNNNNNNNNNNNNNNNNNNNNNNNNNNNNNNNNNNNNNNNNNNNNNNNNNNNNCGAUGUGGGAUUGACUUCAGUGGUACGUCAAGGAGCGGGCCGUAGCGCUGGGAGAGAGGGGCGGCGGCGCAGCUUUGGCCUCCAUGCAUCAUUGUGCUGGACAACAGUGAUUUCACCAAGGAGAAACGGUGGCCUCGCCACCUCGAUUGCGGAGCGCUCAUACGGCGACAUCUCGUUGGUGGGGAGGUAGUGGCAGCAACAAGACGCCCUGGCUGCCGAGACUUGUCGGAGUCAUGGGGGGUCAAUGGAGAAGGGGGAUGGAGCGGUGCCGCUAGGAAAGGGAGAAAAGCGACACGGAAGGUGGGAAGAAAGGAAGCUAGUAAUUGGCUUGGACCUAGAAGACAAAUGCACUUCACCAACGAGCUAGACACUUACAGGUUGGGCCCACCCGCUGCCCACAACCCCGAUCAACCAGGAGCCCUCACUUAAAGGGAGCUUAAUAAGAGUUUUAAAAGAUUGGAAUCUCUAAAAAGACUUAUAUUUAGGAACGGAGGGAGUACCUUUCAAAAACACCCCUUGAUUUUCACUAAUAAUGUGUGGAGCACUAAGGCCAAUCUGCUGGCGAGGACUUUUUGGAGACUAAUUUAACAAGGCUGCGAACGAGACUGAUGGGACGAUAAUCAUUAGGACUGCAAGCCCCCAGCCUCUUAGGUAACAACACCAAACACCCAGAUGUUGACUUGUUGAGUGAAUGAAUCGCGUCGAACACAUCUAUCAGUAUCAGAUCUUAAUUAAUUAUCUGCCAGCAGCUAAGGUAGAAAGCUAUGUUAAAACCAUCCGGGGUCCAGGCGCUUUUUCCUUCGGCAUAUCCUCUUCAGUAUUUCUUGACACCAAACACUAACAAGUUACCAAGAGCAAAAGAUCAGCAAAACAGUCAUUACUCCUCAACGCCGCAAAUGAAGAACAAGAACAAAAUAUGCAUUCCUUUCUAACACAUGUUAAGAGGAGCAAGCAAGAAAUUACGAUUUACUAGUGAAGAGUUCAAAACUUCAAAUUCCCAAGGAUGUACCAAGCUGGAUUUUUUCAUAAAGCAGCUAUACUAUGGUAACCCAAGCCGUGUUGCCAUCUGCGAAAUCACAUGUAGGGCAACAAAAAUUACUACAACACAGCAUGGACAAAUCUCUCGUCAUUCUGAGGUUAAACUGUGGUCAGCAUAUAUAUGCAAAACUAGUGCAAACAGAGGAACAAAAUGCCAAAACUUCUCUGAAUUUGCUAUGCAUGGAAGUACAUGGACUGGACCUAUGGGUGAGUACACAGAUACCAUAUCUUAAGUUAGUUAGGUUGUUGAUCCUUUAAAUUAGGACGGUACACAUUAGCUUGGGCCUUAAGACAAUUAGACACAUAUGAUCUUCAAUUCAUUACUUAGUUUCAAUUAUCAGGCCUCUAUAUAAAGAAUCAAAGAGGACCCCCUAUGAGAUACUCCCUCCGCCCCAAAAUAAGUGUCUCAACUUUGUACUAAUGUUAGUACAAAGCUAUACUAAGCUUGAGACACUUAUUUUGGGACGGAGGGAGUAUUAAUCAAGUAGAAAUAAACCAAAGAAGACAUCUAACAGUCAUUCUUCUUCACAUUCCUACAUAUGGACGUCGUAGUUCUCUUGACAACAAUUAAAAUUAUCUUGAAUCCAUUUGCUCAAAUGAAAUACAGGAAGGACGAGACGUGGGUUGAUUUAGUCUAUUGUUAAGAUUUGAAUAUUCAAAAUAGACAGAAAAUAGAAGGGGUCAUUACAGGGCCUAAGCAGAAUGCGCACCUGGGAAUGGAGAUGCAGAGAAUGGUGAUGUAAGGGCCACAAAGCUUGUGUUCAGAGAGCUCUAUGGCCAUCUUGAAGUGCCCAUUGCAGUUCCUGAAGAAGGUACUACGGUGCUGUUCGAUAGAUCACGAUCACAGGCAUUUGGAUUAUUACAGGGCCAAAGAAGAACGUUAGCCAUCAACGCUGGUCACUGCUGUCACAACCUCUCAGAGCUGUUACUCAGCCGUUGCCGUUGCACAUUGCUAUCUCUCCAAGGAUUUACUGGAAUGGUUGGAGGCCAAGUUAUAAUCUGAAUAUGAACCUCAAAAGUCAAGUUCUUGGUCAUCAGGAUUCUGAAUUUCUACAUAAGUCAUUUGUGUAGCCUCUUGGACAACACCAAUAAAAACAUUUCUCAAAGACAUCAAUCCAGGGAGAAACAAAUGAACAUUUGUACGUUUUGCAGGGCAUCCAAAUGCCACUAGCUGCUCACCAAAAUAUCAUCCAACGUUUGAGGAUGAGAUACAUUGCCUGUGCAUAACUUAUCAACAAGUAUAGCAGAAGCCAAACUGCCUAAUUCAUAUCCAGCUUUAAACAUUGUAUUCAGAAUCAGCAGUGCGUCAUCCAUUCGCUCGGAUUUCCUCAGCGACUCCAGCAAAGAAUUGAACGUCUGUUCCUGAGGUUUCAGAUUGUUCUUCAACAUGCUAGCCAACCAUGCCAUACCAUCAUCAGCCCGCCUGACCUUACAGAACCCAUUGAUGACACUAUCAUUGCUACGUUCCAACGGUUCCAAGCCCUUAGCCUGCAUCAAGGUAAGUAAUUCAACAGCAUGAUCAACCUGUCCUUCCUCGCACAAGGUGUCAAUGAGUGGUGUGAAGGUCUGCACACUUGGCUCCAAACCAGAUGAGAGUAGCCGCUGAUACAUCCCUAUCGCCUCAGCCAACCUACCAACCUUGCAUAGGCCCUGAAUCAACGUGUUAUAAGUUAUCACAUCAUGUUCAAUCCCUUUAGUAACCAUUCCCUUGAACACCCCAACUGCUUCGUCCACCCUCCUAUGAACACAAAACCCUUUGGCGAUAAUGUUACAGCUAACUGUGCUCUCCUUGAACCCCUUGUCAAGCAUUUCUUCAUACACCUUGAGAGCCAUCCCAAAAUCACCAGCUUCACAGUAGUAAUCGAGAAAAGAGCAAUAUGCAUACUCACUGGGCUGUAUACCUUUGUCCACCAUCUCAUCCCACAUCUGCUGCGCAUCGGCAAUAUGGCCCAUUUUACAUAAACCGGUGAGCACUGUGCUGUAAGUGACUACAUCUAUGGCAUAACCACGCAGCUUGAUCUCGCUGAAGACACGAAGGGCCUCGCCGCCCAUCCCAUGCGCAAAGAGCCCAUGUAUGACACGCUGGUAGACAAACGUAGCUGGAGGACAUCCCGCAGAGAUCAUGAGGUGGAGCGUCUCAGACACCUUUGCGAAGUUGCCGAUGGCCACAAAGGACGUGACAAGGUCGGCGGCAGCAGCAGACGAGGGAGGGGAGCCACGUCGUGCAGCAUCCCGGAGGAGGCGGAGGCCAUCGAGCGGGCGGCAGUCGGCUGCACAGGCGCGCACGAGGCAGGCGACGGUGUCCGCGUUGCCUGGGAAGGCAGGGGAGGAGGAGAAGGUGGAAAAGAGGCGGAAGACGAGGUCGGGGCGCGCGGCCCGGAGAGCGGCACGGGAUGCCGCGUUGAGUGCGGGCAGGGAGGGGUGGAGGCGGAGGUGGGAGGCUAGCAGCGCGGCGGCAUCGGCGGCGAGAUGUGGCUGGAGGCUGAGGAGGAAGGCGUCGAUCCCGGGGAGGUGAGGCGAAGGGGNNNNNNNNNNNNNNNNNNNNNNNNNNNNNNNNNNNNNNNNNNNNNNNNNNNNNNNNNNNNNNNNNNNNNNNNNNNNNNNNNNNNNNNNNNNNNNNNNNNNNNNNNNNNNNNNNNNNNNNNNNNNNNNNNNNNNNNNNNNNNNNNNNNNNNNNNNNNNNNNNNNNNNNNNNNNNNNNNNNNNNNNNNNNNNNNNNNNNNNNNNNNNNNNNNNNNNNNNNNNNNNNNNNNNNNNNNNNNNNNNNNNNNNNNNNNNNNNNNNNNAGCGAGGGUUCAGGGGAGGGGAGGAGACGGGAGAGGGUUUGGCGGACGCAGCUCGGCUCGAAGAGCAGUUGGCGUGGGACGAGCGACAGGAGGCGGGGCUCGAAGCGCGGGGCGCGGAGCACGGCGGCUGCCGCGCGGGAGGCGGCGUCAGAGACGGCGGUCGGUACCGGGGCGAGCUCGGAGGCGGAGCUGGAGCAGAUGUGUCUGACGGAGGCGAAGAGGCGCGGAAGCGGGGGCAUGGUGGUGAUCCGCGGCGAGCGGCGGCGGCGGCGACGGGAGGAGAAUGUGAUGCUGUCGUGAGCCGCACGGGGACCGGGGGGUGGUCAGAUUUGGUGGCGAUGCGGCUCGCGAGGUUUUGACUUGGAUUGGCACUACGGCCCAUGGGCCAUGAGGCCCGCGUGUGCUUCAAGUUAAAAGCCAUGAUCUACUCUCUCUCUCUCUCGCCUUUCGUAAAUAAAGUUAUUAUCCAAGCCUCACAGAAACCCUAACUCACGCGCUCGUCGAUGGCCGGGUACCGCAGCCGCAGCCGAAGCCGUAGCUACAGCCCACGCAGGCGCUACAGCCGCAGUCCUCCCCGCUACAGGCACUACGACGACCCGCGUGACCGCUACCGCGGCGGCGGCGGCGGGCCCCGCCGCGGGUACGACCGACCGUCGGCGCCCACCGGCCUCCUGGUCCGCAACAUUUCACUCACCGCCAGGUGCCUUCCCCUCCCCCCUUCCCAGCCGUAACUCUUGGGAGAAGAAGUAUGUCUUUGAAUCUGUUUAUCAUUACAUAGUUACUGCGUGCAAGUACAUCAUAUCGAUGAUUCGGUUUGGUUGUUGAUUCUAUUCAGUCUUAUGUAUUACUUGAUUAAUUCUAUGCAUGCUUGUUUUCAAAGCGUAACUAUGGUACAUAUGGGAUGAUGUGUUGCUUGGUUUAAAUAGUACAUGUCCUUGAUGAAGGUAAUGUACAUCAUAUCAGGAAGUCAUCAAUGUCGCCGUCACUUGUUCGACCACUUGGCACAACAUUAUAGUACAUGUCCUUGACGAUGGUAAUGUACUUUGCUGGGACUUUGUGUUUCUCCAAGGCCCACCACAUGACAUUCCGUGGUAUCUUAUCAUAGGCCUUCUCCAAGUCAAUGAACAAUAUAUGCAGGUCCUUCAUUUGCUCCUUGUAUCUCUCCAUAAGUUGUCGUACCAAGAAAAUGGCUUCCAUGGUCGACCUCACAGGCAUGAAACCAAACUGAUAUUUGGUCAUGCUUGUCAUUCUUCUUAAGUGGUGCUCAAUGACUCUCUCCCAUCUACAAGGGGGAUGUUCAGAGUUGUACUAAUUACCGUGGAAUUAAGCUGAUGGGCCAUAUAAUGAAGCUAUGGGAGAGAGUCAUUGAGCACCACUUAAGAAGAAUGACAAGUGUGACCAAAACAUUAAUUCCACGGUAAAAAUCAAGAAUCCCGGGGCUUUUGAUCUGACGGUGGGGAAUUUAGAUGAGAAUUAGCAAAUCCAUAUUCUAAUAUCAUCAUUACUGAUUUAUGAACUGUACAGGUGAUCCUAUUGUUGCUUAUGUGUCCGAGAUCAAUUAGAUUUGAACUUUGGAUGUUUUCAUGUGGAUGUGACCUUUCAUAGUUGAGAUCUUAUGGCUUGACGAGCCAAGAUCAUUUUUUUCAUUAUAACUGCCCCCAUUUGCAUAAAUAGCUAAAUGUAUUAAAAACAGGAAUAGACACAAUACUAAAUUAUUAUUUUUGUAUGUGUUUUGGGAUGGCCAUCAUAUCUUGUUUUCACAUUUUGCUACUGCCCCAGUCAAAGCUUAUCAGUAGUCUGUAAUUGUCAUUUGUAUAUACAAUGCACAGAUGUAUGGUGAUUUCUGUCUUCUUCUGUGUGUGGAUGAAUUGCACCUUAGCUAACCGAUUAUGUUCCGCCGCAUUUGUUGUUUCCAUCUUUUGCAGGCUAGAAGACAUUCGUGGUCCAUUCGAGCAAUUUGGCCCUAUAAAGGAUGUGUACCUUCCGAGAAAUUUCCACACAAAGUAAUUUUUAUGCUUAUAUUACAUUUGAAGAUCAGUUCAUGUCAUACACAUAGUCAUGAUUGAUUAUUGAACAACAUGAAAGAAGUAUAUGAAUUAAGUGAGAUGCUGAAUAAUUUGUGUAAUGCAACUGAUAUGUUAUGCACUUUGAUUGAUAAACUGUGUACGGCAAUCCUAGAUUUCGUACUGCUGUUAUUCAUGUGAAUACAAGGGAUGGCACAAUCUCAAUGGACUUGAGUUUUCAAAAGAAAUAAUAUUUUUAGCAAGCCCUUUGUGAUGUUAUGGCAUACCAUAUUGUGAUUAACCCUCUAAUUACAUUCAUUUGCAUAAGCUGCCAGUUAAUUUGCUGAAUUUAACCAAAUUAGGAUUAUUUAAUAAUUCUUCUCAACAGCAGUGUUGGUGAGCACUUGUUGCAUAUUCUCUUUCACAGGCAAAUAAUGUCUAAUGUAUUUAGUCUUGACGAAUUGCGCAUUUGUCAAUGUUAUUGGAAUGAGAACAAACUGUUGCUGUAGAAUUUAUUUUAGCUGUCGAUUUUUUGUUGUUGAAUAACCAGUAGUUUAUUGAUCAUUCGUAAAAUUGGUAUAUAUUUUCCAGGAAGUGUUUUUUGUUGUUGUUGAAUAACAAGUAGUUUCUUGAUCAUUGGUCAAAUUGAUAUAUAUUUCCAGGGAAUUACGUGGUUUUGGGUUUGUGAAAUUCCACCACCCUGAGGACGCUGCAUAUGCUAAGCAAGAAAUGAAUCAUCAAGUUAUUUGCGGUCGAGAGAUUACAAUAGUUUUUGCCGAGGAGAAUAGAAAAACCCCACAAGAAAUGCGCUUCAGAACAAGAUCAAGGUACAUACGUACUGUUUUUUACUUAGGCAUUAGGUAGGGUAGUAAAUAUCAAAUCUGAAAUAACCAAAGGAUAUAUUUUUGCCUCUGCUGAUAUAGUGGUAGGCAUAUGGAUGGAAACUACAGAAGAAGGCAGUCGCUGUCAAGAUCCCCAAGGUCUCGUUACCCCUGUAAGUAUAAAGCAGUUCAUUUAAUUCAUAUCUUAUAGCCUUUCAUCUGAUUUUUAAAUAUUAUCUCUUUACUCACAGCUUAUUCACCUGAACCUUCUCCAGUUAGACGGCACUCCAGGUUUGAUCUGGAUGCUCUUCUAAAUAUAGAUAUGAUUAACAUGUUAACUUUCUUCAGUUUGAUUUAUACUGCACUGGCUACAGUAUUCCAGAACUCUAAUAUUUGUGUAGAGCUAGCUUUGUUUAUUAUAAAGAAUAUGUUCACCAUCAGCCCUGCCCUGCUGAGACAAGAUGGAAGGGAAGUAUAUAUGAAACAAAUACAAUCUGCUUCACCUUGUCUUGAAUUUUGUUGGUUGAACGUUGUUAAACCUUUCAUUGGAAUUGUGAUUAUUAUAGCCUCUUUAACUUAAGAUUAAGGCUGCGUUUGGCAAUUUGCAUUGAGGUGGAAUAUGAUAAUCUAUCUUUUCAACCAGCUUUUGUCUGUUUUUCCGUUUGGCUACCCGACUUGCUCCUGCUUUCGUGCCUAUUUUUUACAGCAGAUCAUAAAUUAAGUUCAGUGCUGAGCUUAACUAUAACAGCUUAUAAAGUUCAUUAUAAUCUCCUAAACAUACCUAUUGCAUCCCCCCCCGCCCACCCUGUCAAUGAUCUGGAAACGCAAUCAGGUAAAAUGGAUAAUGGUCCGUUCUUUUUAACUUUCUUUGGUUCAUUAACCAACAAGUUGUUAUUUCAUCAUCGAAACAUAAAUCAGCUUCCAAAUUUUUUGUUUAAAGUGUUCUAUCCUCGAAAUUUUCAUCUUGAAUUGAUUGCUAAAUAUCCUAGCUUAUAUGGUCGGUUAUUUUUAUUUCUGUUUUCAUUAGCUCGUUAGUCGGUCUAGGAGGAAAGUAACUUCCAAGAGGAUUACUAUUAAUGAUUGUUCAUCUUAUGUGGAUUUUUCUGAAUCACAAAGGAACUUUCCUGCUCAUUUGUAUGCUCGUGCCAAGCCCUGCACAUCCUUGAUUAAUCUCUAACAUUAGCAACAUGGUUUUUGUUGACUGUUUGGUGAUUGUUGAUUAAUUUGUAUUAUCUAUUUUCUGUUCUUGAACUCUGCCUAUGCCUUCUAGGCAUAGCCAGUCCCAAGCCCGGGUAAAGGAGGAGGGUUGUGAUAGGCUUGGCGAGCAAACGUAAAAACUAGCCAGUCCCAUAGGUAUGAAACCCAUUUGAGCGAGAGUAGUACUAGGAUGGGUGACCUCCUGGGAAGUCCUCGUGAAAGGGUUUCAUAUCUAAGGGUUGUGAUAGGCUUGGCGAGCCAACGUAAAAACUAGCCAGUCUUUUGGGUAUGAAACCCAUUUGGGCGAGAGUAGUACUAGGAUGGGUGACCUCCUGGGAAGUCCUCGUGAAAGGGUUUCAUAUCUAGCCUACCCCAACUUGUUUGGGAUAACAGGCUUCAUAAAUAAGUAUCUAUUUUCUGUUCUUGAAGUAAGGCUAUUAAGUUGUGCUCUGAAAUGUGUUGCCUUGGUUUUGUAUAUUUAUCCAGUCAUCAAAGAAUGUAGAGUCUAAAUGCCCAAAAGAUAAUCAUGAUGUUUGGCGAAUAAAGACCAAAGUGGCAGUAUUAUGAGCUCCAAGUUGGAGCAUGUGAAAGCUAUACAGUUAAAAGAUAAAGUGGUACUAGCACUCAAGAGUGUAGAGAUAAUCUUGGCUAAGAAACCUGAGGAAAACAGUUAUUUUUCAAGUGAGCUGAUGCUGUUGAGCUAGCAGUCGCAACACCUUAGUGCAUUGCACGUUAUAUUUGGGGAUCAAAAGUGGGUAACCAAUUUUGUGAUGGAGCAGGUAACAUUGAUAUCUCACUUUUCAAUUCACUUGGCUUGGCAAUAGGCAUGACCAGCCAGUGGUGAUGUUGCCAUGCUGCAUUAGCUGCUGUAGACAAGUUUGCAGUUCUCUAAUUUAGUUUGCACAUGGUGAUACUUUCUUGCUCUUGUACUUGUCAGUUACCAUAUGUUUUUUGGUGUGUUGCUCCUUGCAUACUGUCAAUGUGUUUGGUACGAAGGUCAAAUCUUUGAUUGUUUGCAGGGACAGAGAUAAUUAUUCUCCUAGGGGUUCAUACUCUCCACAUACUCGGGACAAGAGGCAGCACAUAUCAGAUGGUCGAUCGCCUAGCCUAGAUGGACAUGAGCGUAGGAUAUCACCAUCCAAUAAUGGACAUGGUCCACCAGUUGACAGGAGGAGCCCAACCUGAUCUCGCUGGUCCCUAAAGGUUCAUUGCGUCGAUUUUCCUCUUAUUAAUUCUCUUCUACUGUAAUUAACUAAUUAUAUGUUGACGUGUCGUUUCCUUCAUAUGCAGGCUGAGAUGAAUUUCGGUUCUACAAUCCGUGACUGGGUGGUGAGAGCAGAGAACAAUGCCUUCUUUCCUACUAUGUUUUCUAGAAUAGGUUGGUAGUUUUUGUAGUGAACAGACUUUUGUGUUCAAAAGCCAGUUGUUGAGUGUUGACACGUUUUAUCAGUACUGUUUGUGAUAUAUUGUGGGAUCCGUUAAAGUCUGAUCAAUUGGUACUUUGUGUGUUUUAGGCUAUAUUUUUGUUCUGCUUGUGCUUGCAAGAGCAUCAUAUUCUCUAGGUUGGAGUUAACCACAUUUGUUUCUUUCAAGUCUAAGGGCCUUUUGAUUGAAAGGAUUUCCGUUGAAUUUUGGAGAACUGAAAUCCUUGGGAAAAUUUCCUAUGGCCGGUCUGUUUGAUUUGCAGGAUUAGAUUUCUUUACACGAUGCCUACCUCCUGAGUCACUUCGUUGUUGUUGACGUACUCGAACAUUGGUGCUUGACACGCUGGAUCUGACGGUCGAUGUAGCGUUGACAGAACCUCAACUCCAUUGACUCCGGCCUCGAGUACUCGGUUAAGACGCCCGCGGAUAGGGAUGAAAAUGGAAUGGGAACUUUCUGUUUUUCCGAAGAAAAAAUGAAAAGAGACGAAAUAUGAACGCGGAAAUAGAAAUUUGCAAAAUGGAAGUGGAAGUAGAAUUUUUUAUGUAGAAAUGACAAAAAAAUAGAAUGGUGUUUUCCUGUGGAACAGGAGUGGAUACGGAACUUUCCAUUUUUGUGAAUAUGGAAUUUUCGUUUUUUUUAUAGACCUAUAGUUGCUUUUUAGUCUAACCACCAAAUAACACACAAUGAGUAGAAUGUAUCAUUGAGCCCAACUUCUACUAUCAUACAUGUACUCAACUUGACCCUAUAUGCAAUUGUCCAGUACUACUACAAUACAACGCUAAGUUGCUAACAUAACGAUAUUACUUUGUAGCCAUGUUAACAAUUCAUUAAAUUUGUUUGUAUUUUGUGUGUUUCUCUAUGAUUCAAGGUUUUGUAAGCUCCGGUCAACACCCAUUUUUGUUUCCGUGUUCCCUUUGUAUUCGCUCCGUGUCUGUUUCUGAUAGUAUCUGUUUCCGUAUUCAUUUCCGGGGUUUUUGUAUUCAUUUUCGUUUUUGCAAAAAUAUAUGAAAACGAAUGUGGUAGCACUCAGUUCCGUCUGUUUCUGCUCUAUUUUCAUCCCUACCCGCGGAUGACUUUGAUCCGCAAACCGGAAGUAAAGUUAGAGGAGGUGAGGGGGUUUGUUUGUGGUCAAAAAAAGGUGAGGUGGUUUGUUGACAUGUGGGACAACCAUUAAGUAGGUGUUCGACACUUACGGCCCACACAAAAACCUCAUUCGGAGCCUCGUCUUUUUCACACUAUCCCUCCACUUUUGCUACGUCCACGUAGUUUAAGACGGAACCGGAUCCUCUAACAUCGAGAAGAAAAGUUAGAGAAGCUACAGUACCCUAACUAACCUUCUUUUUAUUCAUAUGAUUAUGGCCAAAAUUAUUUAAAUUAAUUUGCAAAUUGAUGAUCUACUCUGUACAUUUAUAGUAAUUACAUACAAACAAAUUAAUGGUGAAAUAAAAAUAAUUUAAAUUAUUUAUAUCUACAGUAAAUACCAACUGGAAACAAUCUGCUAACUACUCCCUCCGUCCCGAAAAACAUGUCGCGAGGGCAAUUUUGCAAAAGUCCCCUCUCUAAUUUCUCCCGACCAAAUCCGCGCUCCCUCGUCGUUCUCCUCCGACAGAAGCCGCAGCUGCGCUGCUCCCCGCCGCUGUAGCUGCCCUGCUCCCCCGCUCCCCCGCCGCAGCUGCCUCCUGCUCCGCCACCGCAACUGCCGCUUGCUUGCCUCCCCAAGCUCCCCCUUCCUAAAAAAACCUUCGAUUUCCCCAGCUACCGCCGCGCUCUGCUUCGGCUGCGUCGGAACCGGCGUCGGCGAGCCCGGAGGCGCUGGAUCCGGUCCACCACCAACAACCUAAAGGCCGACGAGGCCGAUGAGCCCGACGACGACAGGAGAUGCAGCAAGCUAAACGCCGAUGAGGCCGACGACGACGGCAAGUAAAGGCCGUCGAUUUGCGGGCGUGGAAGAUGACGACGACAGCUUCACAAGGAAUACGAUCGCGGCGGCGUCUUCUUCGCUGUUUCUCUGGUGGAAGACCCGCGCCUGCGACACCGCGGCAGCAGUGGCGGUUGUCCAGUGGGCCGUGCCUGCUCACUUGGCAGCAGCGGCGGCGGCUACAAAUCUUCUCCAGCAUCUCCAAGUCCUACAGCCUGGGUCAUCUCCGUCACCAACGCCUACAGCCUGGGUAUGAACCUCUCUUCUCUACUCAUCUUUACUGAAUGUACUGAAUGUGCGUAGUCUCUGAACUGAAUUUUACUUAAUGUGCGUAUUCUCUGUCUACUGAAUUUUAGUGAAUGUACUCCUGUAAACUGAGAAUGUACUCUUGUAAAGUGUGCUGUCAACUUGUGAAUUUUACUUCUCAUGUUGGGCUCCUCUCAUUCUUUCCCCCAAUUCAGUAUUGUUGUGUAGAAAUUGAUUCAAAUUCUUUACAUAGCCAUUGAUCAAGAUCCACCAGUAAAAUAAGAUCCCCCCUUCUAUUUGUGUUACAAAUAAAACAUGUGCAAUAUUUUUAAAUCUGUUCAUUUGCUCAAAUUAACUCAACUGGUUCUACAAAUAAAUGGAGUCCAUUGGUUUGACUCCAUUCUGUCUAAUAAAUCAUGGUACAAACAGUUUCUACAGCCAUUCUCUUAUUCGUUCCUCUACAUGAGUACUGAUAGAGGUCCCAGAGCUGUGGAUGCAUCUAUGUGCUUGUGAAUCCAUGCUAAAUUGGUAAAUUCAG